CCAUCCCGUGGGCUACACCUUGACCUAACAUUUUUAUGUUGGAUAUUUGUGCUUACUUCGGUGCCUUGUUUAGGGUUUGCUGAAGAUGGCGGUAUAUAGGCUGAAUUAGCAAGGGUUGGUGGGGUUUAUCGGGGUUAAUCGUAUGACCGCGGUGGCUGGCACGAAAUUUACCAACCUUAUUUAAUAUAACUUAGUCGAACUUUCGUUCAUGGCUUAAUUUUUAUCACUGCUGUGUCCCGUGGGGGUGUGGAUACUUGCAUGUGUAAUUUUAUUAAUAACUAAUAAAAAGGCUAGGACCAAGCCUAUGUGUUUAUGGAGUAGAUAUACUCAUCUAGGCCCCUGAAGAACCCAUAAGUCAAGUUAAACUAUAGGCAACUGUUUUCAAAGUCCAGCACAG
rnacentral:lncRNA from 1 species